CAAAGCUGAAACUUAAAGGAAUUGACGGAAGGGCACCACCAGGAAUGGAGCCUGCGGCUUAAUUUGACUCAACACGGGAAAACUUACCCGGCCCGGACACAGGAAGGAUUGACAGAUUAAGAGCUCUUUCUUGAUUCUGUGGGUGGUGGUGCAUGGCCGUUCUUAGUUGGUGGAGCGAUUUGUCUGGUUAAUUCCGAUAACGAACGAGACUCUAGCCUACUAAAUAGACGUUCCGAUCAUCUCCGUCGGACGUUCUUCUUAGAGGGACAAGCGGCGUUUAGCCGCACGAGACAGAGCAAUAACAGGUCUGUGAUGCCCUUAGAUGUCCGGGGCCGCACGCGCGCUACAUUGAAGGAAUCAGCGUGUGCUUUCCCUGUCCGACAGGACUGGGUAACCCGUUGAACCUCCUUCGUGCUGGGGAUAGGGGCUUGUAAUUGUUCCCCUUGAACGAGGAAUUCCCAGUAAGCACGAGUCAUAAGCUCGUGUUGAUUACGUCCCUGCCCUUUGUACACACCGCCCGUCGCUACUACCGAUUGAAUGAUUUAGUGAGGUCUUCGGACUGGCGCUCGGAGCGGCCCCCGGGUCGCGCCGGCGUGCCGGAAAGAUGACCAAACUUGAUCAUUUAGAGGAAGUAAA
rnacentral:rRNA from 1 species